rnacentral:rRNA from 1 species
UACGUAGGGGGCGAGCGUUGUCCGGAAUCAUUGGGCGUAAAGAGCGUGUAGGCGGACUGGAAGGUCUGGUGUGAAAGCCCGGGGCUCAACCCCGGAGGGUCACUGGAAACCAACAGUCUUGAGUCCGGAAGAGGAGAGUGGAAUUCCUGGUGUAGCGGUGGAAUGCGCGGAUAUCAGGAGGAACACCAAUGGCGAAGGCAGCUCUCUGGUACGUGACUGACGCUGAGACGCGAAAGCGUGGGUAGCAAACAGG